rnacentral:rRNA from 1 species
CCUACGGGUGGCUGCAGUGGGGAAUAUUGGACAAUGGGGGGAACCCUGAUCCAGCCAUGCCGCGUGUGUGAAGAAGGCCCUCGGGUUGUAAAGCACUUUCAGUGAGGAAGAACGCCUGGUGGUUAAUACCCAUCAGGAAAGACAUCACUCACAGAAGAAGCACCGGCUAACUCCGUGCCAGCAGCCGCGGUAAUACGGAGGGUGCGAGCGUUAAUCGGAAUUACUGGGCGUAAAGCGCGCGUAGGUGGCUUGAUGAGCCGGUUGUGAAAGCCCCGGGCUCAACCUGGGAACGGCAUCCGGAACUGUCAAGCUAGAGUGCAGGAGAGGAAGGUAGAAUUCCCGGUGUAGCGGUGAAAUGCGUAGAGAUCGGGAGGAAUACCAGUGGCGAAGGCGGCCUUCUGGACUGACACUGACACUGAGGUGCGAAAGCGUGGGUAGCAAACAGGAUUAGAUACCCGAGUAGUC